GUCUUUGUCCCCUAAAAGGCAUGAUUUAGAUUAAUGCUUUAAGAGAUCUUAGUAAUUUUGUCUUUUAGAUUUUUGUGAUUAAGUUGCUAAGCUUUUUUAGUAGCUCCAAAGUGUAAGAUUUACUCCAACUUUUUCCCUCCGUUAAAGGAAAGGAAGAAGAAAAAGGAUUGGAAAAAAAAAGAAAGCAGAUAUUAGCAUGGUUCAGAAAAAUAAUUUAUUGGCUUACUUUUUUGAACUAGUAUACAAUAGCUGGUCCCCCUACGAGAAUGCGAUCUAAAAUCUAGCUUUUCUCCUCCAGUGCCACAUAUCAAAUGAUUCCUUUUGGUUUUUGCCCUUUUGCUGCUUCAAUGCAAGUGUGAUGAUGGCUUUCUCAAUCUUGAUGAAAUAUCCUAAGCAUUUGUGUGUGAAGUAGUUCUUCCAUUUAUAAAUUGGACUGCCUUCUAUUGGUAUUAUGUUCUUGUUUGGAAGCUAGUUUUUCUUAUAUAUGGAAGCUACUUUUGCAGGAGGUGCUUUAAAGCCAAGUGA
rnacentral:misc_RNA from 1 species